AAAGGCUUUGCACAAAGGAAAAAAAAAGAUUCAAGUUUUCUUUGCAUGUUUCAAAUUGUGAUUAAGAAAGCGAAAAAAGCAUUUGCCGCUGGCAAUUGAUGAAAAUAAUUGUAUUUAUAUUGUAUAUGUAUAUAUAUAUCGAAGAAAAUAUAAAGAUGAAUGUGCACGUAUUCGUACAAUUCUAUAUGAUAUAUCUAGAAAUAGUACUGCGAAGAACCUGCGUCAGGGUCGUUUUACGUCAAUGACGGUCAGCAAACGAGCUCGUGAUUUUUCGUUAACCGAUAAUAACUACGAAUUAUCUAUACUUGUAUUCGUUUUUAACACUGGGACUAAAACGAUAAUUGAAAAACUAAAAAAAUGUAUAUACACAUAUAUGAAAGAAAUAUUUAUCGGAAAUACGUUUUUAUUGGUUGUGCGCAUAGAUUGUAAAAAAAGAUAUGUAAAAUAGGAUGUGGAUUAAAACAUUAAUUGCGUGUAUGUAUAUUUGCUUUUGUUUUUCAUUGCACGAAUGAUAUUGCAGAUGCCAAAUGAAUAGCACGUGUGUUGUUUCAUCCUAGACGAGAGACACACACAUUAUGCACAAGCUGUUUGCCGUCACGCGUGCGACUUUCACACCAUGCGUGGCAUAUAAGGACGCAUCUGUGUGCUCAAAGGAGCGCACGCCGUGCGGAUUAAUCAGCACGCGUGGGAGCAUGCGUCCGUCACUAUGCGCGCACUUUGCUAUCUGGAUUGCUGAAAAUGCCCAAAAUUUUCAAACUACUGGACAAAAUUUCUUAUUACAAGAAUCAAGGAUAUUUAACACCUUGGAGAACACACUUUAAAGUCCCCGGGUGUCGCACACCCAGUGUGCGGUUUAAGGAUGGAUUCGGAAGUGUGCGGUUUAAGGGUUAAUCAGAGAAACGUAUUAGAUCGGCGUUUUCCAUUUUUUAUAAUAAUUAUUGUAAUAAAUAAUAAUAACUUACCGCGGGGGGCGUCUUACCCACUCAGGUGGGAUAUAUGGCCAAA